UAUGUCUGGCUUAUUUCACUUAAAACAUUCUCCAAUUCCAACAAUGUGAUAGCAAAUAACAGAAUUUUCUUCUUUUCAAAGACCCAAUAAUAUUCCAUUAUAUAUGUAUACCACAUUUUUGUAUCCUUUCAUCUGUUUGUUUAUUUCACUGGGCUAAUGUGAAUAAUGCUGCAAUGAACAUGGUAAUGAAGAUAUCUCUUCAACAAACCAAUUUUAAAUCUUUUGAUUAAAUACAAAAAAGUGGGACCGCUCAACUUCUCUUUUCAUUGUUAAAGGUUUCUAUGAUUCUAGGCGGUCACCUUGGAGAGGAAGGGAAGGAGUUCUGCCACUGAGCUUCAUGCUGGGGCUCAGCUGUCACAAGGGACAGUGUUGGACUUGUCCCUGAAGAUUCAACCUCUGAAAUAACAGUGAGAGGUUAGAGAGAAUUCUGAUGAUUGGAAAAAGAUGGGUGGUACAGGUUCUUCUCAUAGGAUAAGCUACUCAGGAAGAUUUGGAGGGUUUGAUGGAAUUGUUAGCAAAGAGCUCUCCUCUGGCCACAGAGCAGAGGAAGAAACAGCGGACCAGAGUAUAAAGCUCCAGAGCGGAAAAUUUCUGUUGGUGUCCAAACUAAGUUUUUGGCUUUCUGUGAGGCUUGGAAAGACUUAUACUGAUGUUUUAAUCACCUGUUUAGUGUUCUGGAGACUCCUGUCAGCGGCCUCACUGAGCCUGCUCCAGCAGGCAGAGGGGAGCUGCUGGCUUAUGCACCAUGCUCUUGUGUGAGCUGUUUCUUUCCCAUGGCUGUCUCCAACACUUCACAGCUCCCUCUGGGCCACUUAGACGGUACAAGCCAAACCUGUGAGCCCCAAAGGAGACUAAAGACACUCAUUUUGGUUAACUUCUCACCAGAUCUGAAGUCAGAAGGGAUCCUUAAAAGAGCCAAAAUGCAGAGAGAUAAGGCACAGUCUCUGGAGACCAGUCUGCCAGGAACCGCUAGGGCAGUACAGAAGCUUGCCUUCUAGGACAAUCACCACACAGACAUACUGAAGCUCUUGGAUAUUUAUCAUGAAAGAAAUCCUCACAAGUGAAAAGAAUACUGAACGAACUCAGGGCAGGACAGUGUUAGAAACAAAAACUCAUUAGCAUGCAAGAAGCUAACUGAGGAGUUCAGGGCAGUGGCAUGUAGAGCAUGUCAGCACUUUACUUCCUCUGCAAUUUUCAUUGGUCACAGCUUCUUGGUGGCUGUGGUGUAUAUGAAUGAUAGUUGCUAGGCAUUAAGAUAUUUAAUCUGAUUAUCACAGUAAUCCUGUGAGACAGAAAAAGAAAGAGGAAACUGAAUUGCAGAGAAAAUGAAUAUUUUUUCAGUGUUGAAGCUGGGAUUUGAACCCAAGUCUUUGUUCAGUCUUUAUACUAGAUGGCUCUCAAGAAGGUUAUGGUACUUUUGCAGACAGAAAGGGACCUACUUCAAGCCCUUCUUACUUAAAGGAUACUGCACCUGUCUUGGCUCAGCAGAGGCCCAAAGAUAUCCAGGACAAAAUAAACAACUGUGAUCAACUUGCAUUUACAUGAACAGAAACUGGGUGCUUGGCUAAGCUACAGGCAAGAGCAAAAAUAUUGAAAUUAAAUAUUUACCAGGGUACCUGCCCUAAAAGAAGUUCUCUCAUUCAGAUUUAUUUCAUUUUCCUGGAUGCAUUAUGGAUAAGACCUCUACUGAUCAGACAAUGAGUUGAAUGAAUAUAUAAAACUAGUCACUGCUGGAUGCUCAGGAGAAUCCUGGGAUAUCUGACUGUAGCACACUUGCCCUGCCUUCUGCAAAGCUACCUGAAGCCUGCCUAACUUCUUGCUGGACCUAAAUCUUAGCCUACAAGAGUCCAGCUAAACUGUGGAGGCUGUCCUUGAACUUAAGAUCCUCCUGCCUCAGCCUCCCAAAUUACUGGGAUUGCAGUGCUGGUGAUUGAACCAGGGCGUGAACAUGCUAGACAUGUGUUCUACCACUGAGCUACACUCCAAGCCCUAUUUCUGGUUAUUUAUUAAAUCUUUCCAAGACUGACAGGAAGAACUGGUAAAGGCAGAAAGAAAAGCAAAGAGGAGAACACUCCUGAAGAUGAUCCAAGUCCAUCAGUCAUGCUCAAGUUCAGCAGGCCUGGGAGUAGUCAGCAACCACAUAUUCCUUAGUCAGGUAGGGUCUCGAACAAAAGGCUGGACACAAGGGGCUGCAUUUGUGACACAAAAGCACGUGAAAAGAAUAUAUAUGUAUGUGCACCUAGUCUGCAUGCUGCCCAGGAAAUACAUUUCUUUUCUCCCAAGACCAUACUUCCCAAACAUUUUAAAGUGUCCCACUGAACGUAUUCAAUAAAUAUUAAGCAUCUGCUAUGGUAUGGCAGGCCCUAUUAAAGGCACAAAAAAUACAGCAAAGGAUAAAACAAUGUUCCUGCUCUCAUGGAGCCUAAUAUUCCUUUGAGAUAGAUAAUCAGAUAGUGGUGGGAAGCACUGUGAGAAAAAUAAGGCAGGAUAAGAAGGACAAAGUAUCUAUCUGGGCGAGGAAGAAAUAUUGUUGUUUUCUAUAAGAUAGACAGGGACAGGAUUUUAGAUGACAAUUAAUCAGGAGUGAGCCACAAAGCAGAGAGGGCUUCCUGGGUUGGUAACUGGAGUGCCAGGGAGUCUACACACUAUUACACAGUAUAAAGGAAGGAGAACUGGUUUUUCUAGCUCAGUUCAGUGAGAGAAAAGGCCUUUGAGAGAUUAUGCAGCUUGCACACCCUCCAUGCAGUUUCUGGAAAGCUUCCAUCACACAUGAGAGUUUUAAGUUGAAUUUUAAGUUUGACCACAAAUAUUUAAACUUCCCUGGACCACAAAUACAGUAUCUUCUCUGUGGUUUAGCUGGCACCAAGUACAUGUUAUGAAUCUCUAUAUGUCUGCCUGUUAUUUAAAUUUCUUACAGAAGUGCCAAGGUCUUUAGUUGUGAUUUACCUUCUUCCACUCCAUACUGGUGGGUAUGAACCUUGAUCAGGCCUAAUUCUUAAGGAAAGGAGAAAUGUUUACAUUGAAGCUUAGAUUUUUUAAAUAUAUUUUUUAAAAAUCUAUUUUUUAGUUGUAGUUGGACACAAUACCUUUAUUUCAUUUAUUUAUAUGUGGUACUGAGGAUCGAACUCAGGGCCUCAUACAUGCUAGGCAAAUGCUCUACUGCUGAGCCACAACCCCAGCUCCUGAAGCUUAGAUUUUUAACUAUGAAGUUAAAUUUCCUCUUAUUACUUUUCUCUUCAAAAAAUGUCAAUGGCGGGUCUAUUUUAAGUUCUUAUAUUUGAACUACAAUAUAAAAAUUGAAAAAUUUCUGUGCUGUUUUCACUGAAGUUGAGAAUAAAACUUACAGCUAAAUAAAUCUUUAGCUAUACUACAAAGCAAAACAUGAAGGAAUAAUGAGCUCCAAACAUCUAAAUGUGUACUCUUUCUUACUUACCAAUUCCUGAGAAUUAUGACCUGCACUAGAAUUACAAAGAAUAUAGAAAACAGCCCCUGCUCCCCAGCUGAGCCAUAGACAAGUUGGCCUGGGAAAGGGCUUUGGCUCCCCAAGCACACAAAAUUCUCAAAGAGUUCCUUGGGUUAUCCCUAAUCACAGGGUCAGUUUCUCUUACACAACUGCCAAGAGAGCCAUGUGGCAUUUUUAUCAAAUGAAGGCACAUAGGCAGAUCAUCUGAAACUCAGGAGUGUCAAAACAAUCACUCCUACUUCAUUCUAGAUAUUUGUCACUGUCUUCCUCCUUCUCUUAAUGGGCCUCUUAUAUCCAGAUUGUCUCUGUGUGUGUGUGUGCUGCGGGGAGCCAAGCUGGGGGGAGCCAAGCUAUGAAAUUGAGUUUUAUAGGAGAACAGCAGAGCUAUUUGUUAUGAAGUAACAAACCCAUGCAAACACAUUCUAAGUACAAUGCCCACCUUAAUAAAAUGAACAAUAACUUUGAAAGUAUCCAACCUGAAAGGCUAGAAAUACAUUUUUAAAAAACUAGCAUCAACCUCUAAUUAGAAGGACUUCAAAUGCAUGUUUCUAACUCAUCUACCCUUCCAGUUCUCUAGUGAAAUGACUGAAGAAAAAAGCAACUACAUACCAGAAACUUUGAGGAAUUUUAUGCAAGAUAAACUGCAGAGGAGACUGGAAUGAGGAAAAAGGACAACUGAUGUUCCACACUUUGUGGGCUCAAUAAGAACACAAAGGAGAGCUUAGCAGCAGUACCCCACUAAUAAUACCCUUACCUUGGAAGGACUAGGACAAGAGCCAAGGUGUGUGGGGAUACAGUUAGAAGGGUACACCUAGGUUCUACCAAGGCUGAUGGGCUGGGUUUAUAAUUAAUGUGGGUGAUUAGAUGAGGCAGAAGGAGGACAAUGCUGAGUCUGAAUGCUAUUGCUUUCUUUUUCUUUUUCUGGUGCUGGGGAUCGAUCCCAGGAUCUCACACAUGGUAGGCAUUCUACCACUGAGCUACGACCCCUGCCCUGGCUGGCUUCUAACAGAGGCAAAAAACCUAGAAUAGGAACACUAAGUUGAGAAAUUUGGUCUACUGCAAUAAACACUGGAUUUAGCUAUAGUGACAUCUAGCCCUAGCUGCCUCUCUACUCUCCUUUAGAAGAGUUUAACUCCAACAGUAUAAAUCAAACAUUCCUCUUUUCCCUUUAUCUGUACCUGAAAAUAUUAAGAACCAUCUAAACUCAAAACAAAUAUAGCUAAGGAUGGAAAAAUAAUUCACCAAAUAAAUAAAAAGGCAUUACAGAAGGGUACCAAUCUGAGGAAUUAGUACGAAAAGUCAUUGAAAAAAUAAGCGCAAAUUUAGAAACCUUAGUUAAUAAGAUUUCAUAGUAGUGGCACAAAGAUAGAUAAAUAAACCACUAGAGCAGAACAGAGUCUAGAAAGAGAUCCAAAUAUAUAUAACCACCUGACGGAUGACAAGACAACAUGUGGUUCAGUGGGGAAAACUGAUCUUUCAAUAAAUGAUUCUGGGUUAAUCAAUCAAUCAAUCAAAUUAACUGAGUUUAAACUUAACACUACUGAAUAUUACUAAACCUCAAUAAAAGUAAGAAUCAAAUAACUGCAUUUCAAUCUAGAUUAGGCAGUCAUAUAGAGAAAAACAACCAGGAAAAACCAUAGGAAAUGCAGUAAGCAGCAGUUAAAUAGAAUAGAAAACUGAAAACAACAACUCCCCCCAUAAAAAAAAAAAAAAGACCAGAAAACUGAAUUAGUAAAAUAAAUGACUUGAUGGAGCCUCUACUAUAAUACAGAGGAGAAAAUACAGAUGAAAAUAUUGGGGGGGGGGGAAAUUAAAAAUGUGGACACAUAACCCAAAUAUUUACAAGUUAUUCCAGAAUGAUGAGGACUGAUAGGAAAAGAAAAUAUUUUUUUUUUU